AUCUGCCCUCGGAGAUUGUGCCUGCCACCCUACACCGCAGCCGUCCAGAGACUGGCAGGCCUUGGCCUAAAGGUCUGGAGGGUGAGCAACCUGCAAGACUCACAAGAGGGGAAGCCAACAGAGAUACCUACAAACAGAGUGCUGUGCCCCCUGGUGCCAACAAGAAAGCUGAGGCUGGGGCUGGGUCAGCAAACAAAUUCCAGUUCAGAGAUGGAUUUUGUUGUGGACGUGGUCAGCCACCUCAGUAAAAUUGGAGAGGAUUAUUAUGCAAUGAAUAAACUUACAGUCAAAAAAAAAAAAAACUUAAGAAAGAAAGCUGCAGAAGAGUGCAGUGAGGUGCCUCAGCAUGAGAAAAGUAAGUGCGCCACGGCAGACUUUUCCUUAGGGGUAUUUAUGGACCUUAAAGCAGGAGCUUAGGAGUACUGUGGACCAUAUUAGCCACAUAGGUCAUGAUACGUGAUUACAUUUGUAGAUAUUUUGGUGCCUUAAUGUCAGCAAGGGCUGCACAACGAGUUUCAACAUGCAUUCAUUCAGGAGAUGUACAGAUAUUCUAGUUACUUAAAAAAUUUUUUAAAAGCCUGGUACCAGAUGCUUGCUUUAGAAUAAUAGGGACAUCUAAUUACUUCCAAAUUCCUCAGAUAAGAAAUGUUGCCUCUGGAUGGUUGGCUUGAUGGUCACCAGGUGAUCUUUGCUCUCCUCAAUCAGUUUUUUUGUUUUUUUGUUUUUUGGUUUUUUUUUNNNNNNNNNNNNNNNNNNNNNNNNNNNNNNNNNNNNNNNNNNNNNNNNNNNNNNNNNNNNNNNNNNNNNNNNNNNNNNNNNNNNNNNNNNNNNNNNCCUCAGCCUCCCAAGUAGCUGGGACUAUAGACACACACCACCACACCCGCUAAUUUUUGUAUUAUUAGUAGAGAUAGGGUUUCACCAUUUUGGCCAGGCUGGUCGAAACCCCGUCUCUAUUAAAAAUACAAAAAUUAGUCAGGUGUGGUGGCGGGCGUCUGUAAUCCCAGCUAUUAGGGAGGCUGAAGCAGGAGUUGCUGUAUUAACACCAGACAAAGUUGAUUUCAGACCAGUCUGGGCAAUAUGGUGAAAGCCUGUCUCUACAAAGAAUACAAAAAAUUAGCCAGGUGUGGUGGUGCAGGCCUGUAGUCCCAGCUACUUGGGAGGCUGAGGUGGGAGGAUCACCUGAGCCCAGGAGGCAGAGAAGACCAUCAGGUGAUCUAGUUAUGAGAAUCAGCAGACAAAGGCUUUAAAACAACAAUUAUAAGUAUGCUGAAAAUUUUAAAGGAAAAAAAAAGACACAAUAGGUAAAGAGAUAAGGUAUUUCAAAAGAAAUGGAAAUUCAAGAACAAAAUAAAGGGAAAUUACAAAAUUGAAAAAUAGAGUGUAUGAAGACUUACUGGAUGAGCUUAACAGCAAAUUAGACACUGCAGAAGAAAAAAAUAAGUGAAUUGAACAUAAGCUAAUACAAAUUAUCUAAAUUGAAGUGGAGAGAGGAAAAAAUGGUUGAAAAAAAUGAACAGAGCAUUAGCAAAUUGUGGGAUAAUAGUAAGCAGUCUAACAUACAUGCAAUUAGAGUUCCAUAAGGAAAAGAAAGAAACAAUAAGGCAGAAAAAUAUUUAAAGAAACAGUGGCUUAAAAGUUGAUGAAAAAUAACAAUCCACAGGUCCAAAAAGUUCAACUAACCCCAAGCAGGAUAAACUUCUUAAAAAUCAUACUUGGGGCCAGGCGCAGUGGCUUAUGCCUGUAAUCCCAGCACUUUGGGAGACCAAGGCAGGCAGCUCAUUUGAGGUCAGGAAUUCAAAACCAGCCUGGACAAUUUGGUGAAACCCGGUCUCUACUAAAAAUAUAAAAUUAGCCAGAGCUGGACGUGAUGGCUCACACCUGUAAUCCCAGCACUUUGGGAGGCUGAAGUGGGCGGAUCACCUGAGGUCAGGAGUUUGAGACUAGCAUGGCCAACAUGGUGAAACCCUGUCUCUACUAAAAAUACAAAAAUUAACCAGGAGUGGUGGUGGGUGCCUGUAAUCUCAGUUACUUGGGAGGCUAAGGCAGGAGAAUCAUUUGAACCCAGGAGGCAGAGGUUUCAGUGAGCUGAAAUCACACCAUUGCACUCCAGCCUGGGCGACUGAGUGAGACUCUGUCUCAAAAAAAAAAAAAAAAAAGAAAAAAGAAAAAAAUCACACUUGGUACAUCAGAGUAAAAUUGCUUAAAACCAAAAAUAAAGAGAAAAUCUUAAAAGCAGCCAUAGGGGGAAAAGACACAUUAUAUGCAGGCGGUCAAAUAUAAAUGUGAGAGCUAUUUCUCAUCAGAGAUCAUUAAGCCAAAAAUCCAUUAACUGAUAAAUAAACAAAAUGUGCUGUAUUCAUACAAUGAAAUACUACUCAGCAAUAAAAAGAAAAAAAACUACUAUAGCUAUACCGAAAUGAACCUUAAAAACAUUAUUCAAAGGCCAGGCGCAGUGGCUCA
rnacentral:lncRNA from 1 species